rnacentral:lncRNA from 1 species
CCGUUUUCUUUUUCAUCUUUUCUUCUUGUGCUUUUGCUCUUUUUUUUCUUUUUCUUUGAAUUCCAUUUUCUUUCCUUUGAUUUGCAAUCUUGGUUGUGGCUAUUGAGUGAUUGUGGGUGUUGUCGUGGAAACUUUGGGUGGUAUCUGUAAAUUCGAGUGAAGUGAAAGUGUGCGGUAAUAAUUUCUGAUUUUAGGAUUUUUAAUCGUUCUUUGUUUCAAGAUGGGGUUUCGUUAGUGUUUACCUUCGAUCUUAUUUGUGAUUAACGUAAUCGUUUUUUGGUUAGGCAAAGGAACUGGAAAUCAACUUCUCCCAGCGGAGUAGGUCUCAAUUUGAU